GUACACGUGAUCUGAUCUACCUCUCCGAGUGUCGGAAUAACUAUGCGAGAAAUCUGAGUGCUAAUCACCGCUAUAAUAUCCGAUAAGGAUCAAAGGAGCAAUCGCGCUUGGAAGAGGAGGUCGCGGCUUGAUUAGCUAGUUGGCGGGGUAAUGGCCCUACCAAGGCGAAUGAUCGGUAUCCGGCCUGAGAGGGCGCACGGCACACACUGGAACUGAAACACGGUCCAGUAGCUCCUACGGGAGGCAGCAGUGGGGAAUUUUGCGCAAUGGGGGAAACCCUGAGCGCAGCAACGCCGCGUGGAGGAUCGAAGCCCCUUGGGGCUGUAAACUCCUUUCGACUCAGAGACGAUAAUGACGGUACCGGUGAGAAGAAGCACCGGCUAACUUUGUGCCAGCAGCCGCGGUAAUACAGAAGGGGUGCAAGCGUUGUUCGGAAUUAUUGGGCGUAAAGGGUGCGUAGGCGGUG
rnacentral:rRNA from 1 species